rnacentral:other from 1 species
GUGGCUCUGCGGCUUUUGCCAUGGUGGGGUUAUCCUUGGGCCUUAAUACUUUACCCAGGAACUUUCCAUUCAGUCGGUGUGCAUGCUCGCUACGGGGAGAAGCCUAAAGCCUGAUUCGGGGGUUCCGCCCUGAACCUUAGGUUCAAGGUGCAAAGCCAAGCGGAGCUCGUGGAGUCACC